rnacentral:rRNA from 1 species
GUAAAAGUCGUAACAAGGUUUCCGUAGGUGAACCUGCGGAAGGAUCAUUACCGAGUGAGGGCCCCCUGGGUCCAACCUCCCACCCGUGUUUAUUAUACCUUGUUGCUUCGGCGGGCCCGCCUCACGGCCGCCGGGGGGCACCUGCCCCCGGGCCCGCGCCCGCCGAAGACACCAUUGAACUCUGUCUGAGGAUUGCAGUCUGAGCAGAUUGGCUAAAUCAGUUAAAACUUUCAACAACGGAUCUCUUGGUUCCGGCAUCGAUGAAGAACGCAGCGAAAUGCGAUAAGUAAUGUGAAUUGCAGAAUUCAGUGAAUCAUCGAGUCUUUGAACGCACAUUGCGCCCCCUGGUAUUCCGGGGGGCAUGCCUGUCCGAGCGUCAUUGCUGCCCUCAAGCACGGCUUGUGUGUUGGGCUUCGCCCCCCGGCUCCCGGGGGGCGGGCCCGAAAGGCAGCGGCGGCACCGCGUCCGGUCCUCGAGCGUAUGGGGCUUUGUCACCCGCUCUGUAGGCCCGGCCGGCGCCCGCCGGCGACCCCAAUCAAUCUUUCCAGGUUGACCUCGGAUCAGGUAGGGAUACCCGCUGAACUUAAGCAUAUCAAUAAGCGGAGGA